rnacentral:lncRNA from 1 species
UUGCUUUUGAGAAAAUAAGAAUUAAACAAAUUUUUUUUUUUCAAAUCCUUUUAUAUGUCCUGAAAUUACAAUUCUGCCAUUACGGGCCAUGUAUGGGUAUGCGUUACUUGGGUGGGAAUGGAAUGAUAGUGAGAUGUCUUUGUGGAGGCAAUUAUUGGGCCCAUGUUCUUUUAUGAGAAUUUAUCCAUAUCAAAAUUAUUGGAUACACUAUUAAACAUUUAAUUAUCAUUGAUAUUAAUCACAUAUGGCAGCUCACGGUUGCGUUUAAAUAUUUUAUACUAUAAUCCUUCUCAAAUUUAAAAAUAAA